AGUCGUUAAUAGCGGCCUCAUUUGACGUUAGCUGCAGAAGAAGCACCGGCUAACUCCGUGCCAGCAGCCGCGGUAAUACGGAGGGUGCGAGCGUUAAUCGGAAUUACUGGGCGUAAAGCGCAUGCAGGUGGUUUGUUUAAGUCAGAUGUGAAAGACCCGGGGCGUCAACCUCGGAAUUGCAUUUGAAACUGGCAGACUAGAGUACUGUAGAGGGGGUAGAAUUUCAGGUGUAGCGGUGAAAAUGCGUAGAGAUCUGAAGGAAUACCGGUGGCGAAGGCGGCCCCCUGGACAGAUACUGACACUCAGAUGCGAAAGCGUGGGGAGCAAACAGGAUUAGAUACCCCUGGUAG
rnacentral:rRNA from 1 species